GCCGGUUUAGCUCAGUUGGUAGAGCGCAGCCCUUGUAAAGCUGAUGUCGUGAGUUCGAUUCCCACAACCGGCA
rnacentral:tRNA from 1 species